rnacentral:antisense_RNA from 1 species
AUUUAUGGCGGCUGUAUGUGGGAGGUCUUUGGCCUGCCGGUUUGCGUUCCUCCGGUCUUGCACACCCGCAUACAGCUGCCACCCUC